UACGGCGGAUGCAAGCGUUAUCCGGAAUGAUUGGGCGUAAAGCGUCCGCAGGUGGCUGUGUAAGUCUGCUGUCAAAGAGCGAAGCUCAACUUCGUAAAGGCAGUGGAAACUACACGGCUAGAGUGCGUUCGGGGCAGAGGGAAUUCCUGGUGUAGCGGUGAAAUGCGUAGAGAUCAGGAAGAACACCGGUGGCGAAGGCGCUCUGCUAGGCCGCAACUGACACUGAGGGACGAAAGCUAGGGGAGCGAAUGGG
rnacentral:rRNA from 1 species